CAUUGCUGCUAUAACAGCCUCCACUCUUCUGGGAAGGCUUUCCUCUAGAUGUUGGAACAUUGCUGCUAUAACAGCCUCCACUCUUCUGGGAAGGCUUUCCACUAGAUGUUGGAACAUUGCUGCUAUAACAGCCUCCACUCUUCUGGGAAGGCUUUCCACUAGAUGUUGGAACAUUGCUGCUAUAACAGCCUCCACUCUUCUGGGAAGGCUUUCCACUAGAUGUUGGAACAUUGCUGCUAUAACAGCCUCCACUCUUCUGGGAAGGCUUUCCUCUAGAUGUUGGAACAUUGCUGCUAUAACAGCCUCCACUCUUCUGGGAAGGCUUUCCACUAGAUGUUGGAACAUUGCUGCUAUAACAGCCUCCACUCUUCUGGGAAGGCUUUCCACUAGAUGUUGGAACAUUGCUGCUAUAACAGCCUCCACUCUUCUGGGAAGGCUUUCCACUAGAUGUUGGAACAUUGCUGCUAUAACAGCCUCCACUCUUCUGGGAAGGCUUUCCACUAGAUGUUGGAACAUUGCUGCUAUAACAGCCUCCACUCUUCUGGGAAGGCUUUCCACUUGAUGUUGGAACAUUGCUGCUAUAACAGCCUCCUCUCUUCUGGGAAGGCUUUCCACUAGAUGUUGGGACAUUGCUGCUAUAACAGCCUCCACUCUACUGGGAAGGCUUUCCACUUGAUGUUGGAAC